rnacentral:pre_miRNA from 1 species
AAAAACUCAAUUCCUAAGUUUCCGUGUACUACAUUUGACUGUACAUCUUAUAUGAAAUUUUUUUUAUGAUUACUAUUUUCAUUGUUGUUAGAUGAUAAAACAUGAAUAAUAUUUUAUGCGUAAUUUAUUUUUUUAAUUUUUUUUAUAAUUUUUUUAUAAUUUUUUUAAAUAAGACGGAUGGUCAAAUGUUGGACAUAGAAGCUUAAGAAUCGAGUUAUU